rnacentral:lncRNA from 1 species
GGAACCUGGGAUUCAAAUGGCCUGGCAGGAAGUGCUCUAGCAGAGGGACUCUGGCCUUGCAAGAGUCCCUAUUUCCCCCUUUUUUUUUGCUUUUCACACAGUAAAACCCUGCUUUACUUCCCUUUGAGUCGUCUGUGAGCCUAAAUUUUUGUGGCUGUGGGAAGGACAAGAACCCCAUCUUUAGCUGAAAUAAGGAAAAGUUCCGCAACAUUUUUGGCACACACCCUGGGGGCUCCGGAAGUGGAUUAUGUUGGCUCGGAGAAUGAUACCUCAAAGGCUGGUGCUGAGAGUUCUUAGAAGCUGCUUCAGAAUCAAGGAUCUCUCCAGAGAUCAACCACUGGAGAAAAGAUACUAGGAGUCAUCACCACAUCUAGACAGAGUGCUGCUCCAAGAGAUUAACUGAGGGAUUUCAUCUGCAUAAUAAGUCAACCUUUUUUCCGGGCGCAAUGGCUCACGCCUGUAAUCCUAGCACUUUCGGAGGCCCAGUUGUCUUCUCCUCAUAGUCCUCCACUAAAGCCUGAACAACAAGGAAUGCUGUCGGAACUGGACCUUGAUGAAGGAAAUACUUUCUGACUCAUUGGAAUUUGUUAUAGUCAAAAACCCUCAACCCUGCAUCCUACCAUCCUGGGCUUGCACUGCAAGUUACAUGAUCCCUGAGCUGACCACUUUGGCUUGAAUCCCUGGAAGGAGAAAGGAGAGAGAGAGCAACUAGUUCAGACACAAGCAUCUAGUUCAGCUUUGUUUGCCUAUGUGAUAACUUAGGUCUUCACGAUGGCCCAGAGUAAGACGACGCAGGAGGACCCUUCUAGUCAUUUAAUUAUUGCUUGACCAGAACUGUGCCUUGUAAGAAAUGCUUGCUGUUUGGAAACUUGUGAAGACCUGCAUCCCUUUGUAUCUCAAAUAAAGACAGAGGUGUUUCCAGACCUAAGAAUAACAGGAACAUGGAGGAGUGGCAUCUCCAGUGUAGCCACCCACCAAAGCCUCAUCCUGAACACUAUGGCCUAGUGGGUCACUUACAGGGAUGUAGCUGGCAUUGAUGUAGUCAGAGCAAGGAUCAUCAUCUACAUUGGAGAGCUUCACUCGCGUGGCAUCAUCUGGAAGGAGAGAUUUGCUGCUGAGUCUUGGAGUGACUUUUCUACAGUUUAUGUGAUGUGUGUGAUGUGCCUUAGCUCUGAUCCCCACAACAGCCACAGAUGGGAAGUGAUCUUAUCUCCAUUUUGCAGAUGAGGCUCAGGCAGGAUAACUAACUUGCCCCAUGUUGCAUAGGUGGCCUAUAACCAGUCAGACACAGGAGACAACAUGAAGCCCCAUCUGUGCUUCCCUUUCUGACAUUACCACAUUUGCCUGAUGGAGUGGCCAGCUCCCUUUCACUGCUGGAAUGAAUACAAUCCAGAAAACCUACCUUCUAUUGCUUUACCUAAUGGGGUAAGGAAAUUUAAGUAGAAAUUGCUAACCGAAGACUUUGCUAAGCAAACCCAGGUCUGCUUGAUGUCAGAGCCCUUGCUGUUAACCCCAUUUACUGCUUAGCCUCCAAAGAGAAGCAAUAGCAUCACAUGGGGAAAUGUCAACAGCAUAAGAGGACUUUCAUAAUCAGAAUUUAAACUGGCUAUUAUCCCUCUGGAGGGAAGUGCAGGAAUAUACAAGCUAUUUCUUAUUAAAGGCAUUCAGAGCUUGAGAUUGUCCAUAUCGAGCUAUAUUAUAUUUCUUUAGCCUCAUUUCAUUUUUGGAGAAAAAUGCAGAAAUGGCUAGAGGAAGACAGUAUUACAAAUUUUGACACAAAACUUACAGGGCAAUAUAUUGUUGUAUCGAUUUUUCCCUCUAUUCUCCGGCAAGAGUGCAAUGUCACAUGACUGGUUUCGGCCCACGUCUUUUAACUCCUGUUAGGUCAAAUAUGAGUUUGUAAGUGGAGAAUAUGAAAUAGAAUAAAGCAAAUCAUACAGUC